CAAUAGCGUAUAUUAAAGUUGUUGCAGUUAAAAAGCUCGUAGUUGGAUUUCGGGGCAGCCUGGCUGGUCCGCCGCAAGGCGAGUACUGGUCAGCCGCCCUUCCUCUCGAAAGCCCCGACUGCUCUUUAUUGCAGUGGUCGGGUAGUUCGGGACGUUUACUUUGAAAAAAUUAGAGUGUUCAAGGCAGGCCUACGCCUGAAUACAUUAGCAUGGAAUAAUGGAAGAGGACCUCGGUCCUAUUUUGUUGGUUUCCAGGACCGAAGUAAUGAUUAAGAGGGACAGUUGGGGGCAUUCGUAUUUAAUUGUCAGAGGUGAAAUUCUCGGAUUUAUGAAAGACGAACAACUGCGAAAGCAUUUGCCAAGGAUGUUUUCAUUGA
rnacentral:rRNA from 1 species